GCUAGGGGUGGUGGUACAUGCUUAUAAUCCCAGCUACUUGGGAGGCUGAGGCAGGAGAAUCCCUUGAGCCCAGGAUGUAGUGUGCCAUGACGAUUGGGAACCAAAUGAUGCUAAGUUUGGUAUCAGUAUGGUGACCUUCCAGAAGUGGGGGACCACCAGUGCCUAAGAAGGGGUGAACUGGCCCAGGUGGGAAACACAGCAGAUAAAAUUCCUGCACAGAUCAGUAGCGGUAUAGCACCCGUAAAUAGCCACUACACUCUAGAGCCUGAGCAACAGAACGAAACCCUGUCUCUU
ensembl:misc_RNA Metazoa_SRP Metazoan signal recognition particle RNA